ACACCAGUGCUUUGACAGAGAGACCCCUUUAAAGUAAGGAAAAGUCCAGGGUUUUUGGUGUGGAUGCUAGGAGGGGCUUUAGCAUAAUUUGGCUCAUUGUAUUAUUACCCACAACUGGUAUUCCUGAGUGUGAACAGGGUGCUUUGUUCAUCGUGAAAUGGGAAUUAUGAGAAAUAUUUUUCUUUAUAGAGGAAGCCAGUUGGAAAAGCCAUGAAUUAGAUUAAUGAUUUGUGAUUCUUACAACCAGUUGGUGAAUUUCCUACGGGCAGGUGUAACUCGAGUUGGCAGUUCUGGCUCAGUGAAGGCUGAAUCAAGGUCAAGCAAAGGUGAAGUCUCCAACUAGACCCAGCCUUGGCAGCCGUGAAGCAGAAGCAAGAACUGCAGAACCAUGACAACACAGGAGCUUUGCGGCCAGAGAAGACCAGAUGUGAAUUUGGAUUCUAGCACGACUGACUAGCUGGGUGACUGUAUAAUUUACCUAACCUCUCCGACCAUCUGUAAAAUAGGAGACAUCCGGGGAGGAGGGGUGUGGCUGAAGCCAGGGAAGCCCACACCAGUGGCGUCACCGUCAUCCACUGCAUCCCAGGACCUGAGUGUUGGUUUGGAAGGCUGGGGAUGUCGUUGUCAGUGCCGGAUUAGUAAAGAGGCCUUGCAGACCGUCCGAUGCUGAUUAAAGUGCACAGUAGACCGAGGCAAACACCAGAAUUCUGAUGUAUUCGUUUAUAGUGAGAAAUAGAUCUGUCACAUGGACUAGAACUUUCCCAUUAGCAGGAUCAACAAGUCGCUCGGGAAGCCAAAUCUCCAACAGGAGAUUACCGGAGCAAGUAUAAAGCAGAGAAGGCAGACGUUGUGCUAAUGUAAUAAAUAUGUCUGAGGGCCGACUU